rnacentral:lncRNA from 1 species
GGGGUCGACAUGGUGAGAGAGAGAGAGAGAGAGAGAGGGGGUCGACAUGGUAACAGAGAGAGAGAGAGAGGGGGUCGACAUGGUAACAGAGAGAGAGAGAGGGGGUCGACAUGGUAACAGAGAGAGAGAGAGGGGGUCGACAUGGUAACAGAGAGAGAGAGAGGGGGUCGACAUGGUAACAGAGAGAGAGAGAGGGGGGUUCGACAUGGUAACAGAGAGAGAGAGAGGGGGGUCGACAUGGUAACAGAGAGAGAGAGGGGGGGUCGACAUGGUAACAGAGAGAGAGAGAGAGGGGUCGACAUGGUAACAGAGAGAGAGAGAGGGGUCGACAUGGUAACAGAGAGAGAGAGAGGGGGUCGACAUGGUAACAGAGAGAGAGAGGGGGUCGACAUGGUAACAGAGAGAGAGGAGGGGG